UUCCAGCACCACAUUUUUCAGGUCUGAUCUCCAGCAUCUGCAGUCCUCACUUUAUCCAGAUUUAAGCAAAGUAUGGCAGAAGCUGAAAAAAAAAUUGAAAUGAGAACAGAGAGUGCUGGAGAAACUCUGCAGCAUCUGUGCACAGAGAAUGCUGCAAGAAAAGAAAACAGGUUAGGCAUAUGGAUUUCAGUGGGCUUGGUUCAUGUUUUCUAAAUGAUUAAAGUAAUUAAAACUGAGUUCAUAGCGUUGCUGCUGCUGCUGUUCACAGAUGUUCAAUUAGUAACAUGUUAAAGGAGUGAAUAAAUGUCUGAUCACAUACUAA